rfam:Lysinibacillus xylanilyticus strain DSM 23493 Scaffold13, whole genome shotgun sequence.
CGCGGGGUGGAGCAGUGGUAGCUCGUCGGGCUCAUAACCCGAAGGUCGUUGGUUCAAAUCCGGCCCCCGCAA